GACGGGCUGCGCUGGCCGUGAUGUCUUUCAUCCUCGGGGCCUUACGAUUUCUGAAGGGAGCUGUCCCUGUUCUCGCCCGUGGGCUUGAGCACACGGCGCCCACCUACGCUGUAGGUUCCAGGAUCGAAAACAGGCACACGGCAGAGGUGGUCCGUCA
rnacentral:other from 1 species